AUAUGAUAAUCAUGAAAAAGUUGAAAUAUUCUGAGAAUUCCCAAGCAUGACAGACACAAAUCGAGCACACGGUGUUGUGAAAGUGGUGCCCGUAGACUCUCUUGAUGCAGACUUGCCACAAGCCUUCGGUAUGUAAAAAACCCAAGAACACAAUAUCCGUGAAGCACAGUGAAGUGAGGUGCGCUGUUGAAGUUGAUGGUGUUCACUGUACAUUUCAUAACCACAGUUAGAAUUCUAUACUUUGUCUGGAGUUUGGACUGGGCAAAAAUGUAGUGAUAACCUAUCAGUUAUGGCUUUAGCAGAGACAUAUUCUAUAGGAAGCAACAGAAGCCAGCCCUGGCUAGUGUAGGCGAAAGUAGGGUGUGUAGAAGGGGCCUGGAGUAUCUCACAGGGUCUAAGGAACAGUGGGUACAUGAGCAGCAGGAAGGGAUGGGACCAGGCCAGCCCUGGUCAGGGACUCCCCGUCAGAGCACUGGACUUUACAGUUCUCGAACCUCAGUCCUCGGCGCCCUUCACUUUACAUCUUGAGCAGGAGAAUCAUAGUGGCCAAGAGAAAUCCAGUCAGCUGUUGUGUCCCAGUCAGCUGUAGUCAGAGGCCCAGGGUCACGGAUCAGGAGCCUGACUGCCAGGGGCCCAGUGUGUCCACCCAGCAGGUGACCCCUGUGGCUGUGGGGGAAGCAGUGAGUUGGUGCUGGAGCAUGCCUUUCCUGGGUGUGGCCUGUGCAUUGGUCAGGGGAGGGAGGCCUCUGUCGGGCUGCCUCUGAUCUUCCUCUGUGUCCCCACAGCCGCUCCUCUGGAAGAGCUAACAAUGGGAACCUCCUGCCUCCCUGAUACGUUCACCAAGCUGAUAAACCCCCAGGAAAACACCUGCAGCUUGGAGGAGUUUGUCCUCCAGCUGGAGCUGUCUGGGUAUAGUCCCGAAGACCUGACUGCUGCCUUGGAGAUCUUGGAAGCCAUUAUAGCCACGGGUUGUUUUGGGAUUGACAAGGAGGAGCUGCGCAGACGGUUCUCGGCCUUGGAGAAGGCAGGUGGUGGGCGCACCAGGACAUUCGCAGAUUGCAUCCAGGCCCUCCUGGAGCAGCAUCAGGUGCUGGAGGUCGGUGGCAACACUGCGCGCCUGGUAGCCAUGGGCUCUGCCUGGCCUUGGCUCCUGCACUCCGUGCGGCUGAAAGACAGAGAAGACGCCGACAUCCAGAGAGAAGACCCCCAGGCCAGACCCCUGGAGGGGUCUUCCAGUGAGGACAGCCUCCCCGAGGGGCAGGCACCUCCUUCUCACAGCCCCCGGGGCACCAAGAGGCACGCCAGCUGGGCCAGUGAGAAUGGGGAGACCGACGCCGAGGGCACCCAGAUGACCCCUGCCAAGAGGCCAGCGCUCCAGGACUCAAAUUUGGCCCCCAGCCUUGGGCCCGGAGCUGAAGAUGGGGCAGAAGCCCAGGCCCCAUCUCUACCCCCAGCUCUUGAAGACACCGCUGCAGCGGGAGCAGCACAGGAAGACCAAGAGGGUGUCGGUGAGUUCAGUUCCCCAGGCCAAGAGCAGCUGAGCGGCCAGGCGCAGCCUCCAGAGGGCUCUGAAGACCCCAGAGGUACCGCGCGCCUUGUCCCCCACCCCACCUCACCCCACCCUGGCUUUCCCUCCCCUCCGCCCUGAUGGGCCUCACACCUUCCUCCGAGGAUGGGGGACCUGCCACUGGCACAAAAGGGGCUUGACUUCAGCUUCUCAGAGCCUGAGCCCCGAGGGGGAGGAUACUGCCUGUAAAUGCAUUUCCAGGGGAGGGCAGGCCUCCCACAUCCCCAGGCAGCACUGUGAGUUCCGGAGCAGGAGCUCAGGCGGUGGGGCCAGCGUGUGCACUGCAGCGGCUGCUGUGGGGCAGUGAUGGCAUGGGGGUCUCAACUUCCUCGGGUGGCAGCACGCCCUUUCCUUUCCUGCACGUCUGUCAUCAGCAGCGGCCUUCUCAUGUGGCUUCUCUGGGCGUUUUUGUUUUCUUUGGGGUGUUUUUGCCUCGGGUUUUAUACCACCCUUGUGGUCAGGGCUUCUGGGUGGAAAAUGAGGUGUUCGCUGGCUUCCUGCAAUGUGGGGCUUGUCCGGGCCUGGGACGCUGCUUGCAUGUAGCGCUGUGUGCGGCAGUCUGCCCGGCCCUGCCACCUCCAGGGUGGCCGCUCUGUGAGAUGCUCAUUGUCCUUUUUUUUGACACUUCACCCCCUGAGCCUCGAGGUGCCCUGCUCAUGCUAGGUACCAUGCUGAAGGUUGGAGGGCAGAGAUGGCUUCCCUGACUUUCCGAGUCUCUCACAUUCUCUUCCUCCUCCCUCAGGGUUCACAGAGAGUUUCGGAGCUGGCAACAUCUCCCAGGCAGCACGGGAAAGGGACUGUGAGAGUGUCUGCUUCAUCGGCCGGCCGUGGCGUGUCGUGGAUGGCCACCUGAACCUUCCCGUAUGCAAGGGUAUGAUGGAGGCCAUGCUGUACCACAUCAUGACCAGGCCUGGCAUCCCCGAGAGCUCCCUGCUGCGCCACUACCAGGGGGUCCUGCAGCCCGUCGCCGUGCUGGAGUUGCUCCAGGGCCUGGAGUCCCUCGGCUGCAUCCGGAAGCGCUGGCUGAGAAAGCCGAGGCCUGUCUCGCUCUUCUCUACACCCGUGGUGGAAGAGGUGGAAGUGCCCUCCAGCCUGGACGAGAGCCCCAUGGCUUUCUAUGAGCCCACCUUGGACUGUACCCUCCGGCUGGGCCGUGUGUUCCCCCAUGAGGUCAACUGGAACAAGUGGAUCCACCUCUAGGACCCCUGUGGGCGUCCCCUCCCUCCCAGCCACCGCCUGCCACACCACUCCUGC
rnacentral:sRNA from 1 species